CAGCCGCCACGGGAAUACGUAGGGCGCAAGCGUUGUCCGGAAUUAUUGGGCGUAAAGAGCUCGUAGGCGGUCUGUCGCGUCUGGUGUGAAAUCCCGAGGCUCAACCUCGGGCUUGCAUCGGGUACGGGCAGACUAGAGUGCGGUAGGGGAGACUGGAAUUCCUGGUGUAGCGGUGGAAUGCGCAGAUAUCAGGAGGAACACCGAUGGCGAAGGCAGGUCUCUGGGCCGCAACUGACGCUGAGGAGCGAAAGCAUGGGGAGCGAACAGGAUUAGAUACCCGGUAGUCCCUGUCUCUUAUACA
rnacentral:rRNA from 1 species